UACAGAGACUGCAAGCGUUAUUCGGAUUCACUGGGCGUAAAGGGUGCGCAGGCGGCCAAGUGUGUUAGGCGUGAAAGCCUGGGGCUUAACCCCAGAAUUGCACCUAAAACUACAUGGCUAGAGCAUUGGAGAGGGUAGCGGAAUUCACGGUGUAGCAGUGAAAUGCGUAGAUAUCGUGAGGAACACCAGAGGCGAAGGCGGGUCUCUGGGCCGAAAUUGACGCUGAGGAGCGAAAGCGUGGGGAGCAAACAGG
rnacentral:rRNA from 1 species